UUCUAAAUAAUUUAUUUAAAAUAUCUACUUUGGAUGUAGAAAAAUCUUAUAUUAA
rnacentral:tRNA from 1 species